rnacentral:lncRNA from 1 species
GUGGGUGGGUGAAAAUUUUACGUCUAAUUCGAACAAUCGAAAUCAAAUAAUAAAGAUAUAACAUAACAGUGUGAGCAGGUUUCACUCACUUACAAAUUUAUUUAUAUUUUAUACCUUAAGGCUAUCCAGUCAAAUUAACAGACGAAUUUCAGCCAAGUAAUUACUGGUUUUUAAAUUAUAAAAACAAACCAAUUACGGGGGCUUUCAAAUAAAGAAGAUAUAAACCAGUA